GAAGUGAAGGAAGACUGGAGAGAGGAAGUGAAGCAACCAGAGAUCCAUCAGGAAUAACGCAGCAUUUCAGCACUCAAACUACAGCAGAAGAGGAACCCUGAGAGAAGAAGAAAACAGUGAAGAAGAAGAAGAAUCACACCCAUGAUGCAGGAAGCAGCAGGAAGCGAGGACAGAGCCCCUCCCCGGCUUGUUUCUGGGUUCAGAGUCGUCAGUGUUUCUCUAACAGAACCGUCUGACUGAACCAAACCCAAAGGGAUCCGUUGCGUUACAGAACAUUAUUCAACAGCAGAACCAGAAACAGGAAAACAUUCAUUCAUUCAUUCAUUCAUCAUCCACAGAGUGAAAUCAUGCAGAGGGAAACUUGUACGACACAAAGCAGUUUCCUCCAUGAUGCUGCGCUGCCAGCUGAUGGGUCGUCUGACGCUCCUGUUACCGCCUGAUUAACCUGAUGGUGCCACUUCUGCCCCCUGGUGGCCGCUUUGCUCCUGCCAGUGGUGAAUGCAUGAGGCUGUUUCUCCAGAGGCUGAACUGGUUUUACUCUCUGCUGCAGGAACGCUGAUCAUAUUACGGUUUCAUAAAUAUAAUGUGACUUUAAUCAAGUCAAUAUUUGGUUUUUACAUCAAAUAAAGCCAUAAAUGAAGAGAAAAUGGGUGAAACA